AGAACCACUGUGCUAACCAGUAAAUAUAAUAUACUAUUAUAGUUAAUAGGCUGUAUUGCUACAAUGUAACAUGUACCUUAGGGCCACGUAUAACUCAUAAAUAUUCUAAUCUUAUGUUAUUGAUGUAAUGUAAAAUUAAAUUUUGAACAGAGUUCCUUUAAUAUAUUUUUGAUGUUAAAAAGUUUCAUUAGGUACCUACCGAUUAGUGCUUAGCCUUUGAAUAAUGAGUUACCAAAUUUGUAUUCAUUAUUUUGCACAUAGUAGGUGCAUACACAAUGUGAUUGAGUGACAAUUUGAAUUUCAAAAUGUUCACUUUCAUUUUCUAGUGUAUCUACAAUAUGGCUAAACAAUAUAAAUAAUAUUUAUCACUGAUAAAACAGCGAGACCAAUAACAGGAUAACAGAGUAAAUUCGUCACAAAAAAGCAGGAAUAAAAUCAGUAUAUCAACUAGUAUUGUAGUUACGAAAAUUAACAUCGAUCUACUUACUCAAAUUAUUAAUUUUGAUGGAGAUGAAGUCGAUAAUGAAACUGAUUUUUCACCGGAAGCGAAUAUGACCUUAGUUCAAUUUCAAGGUACCUAACUAGGUAUUUGUUGUGUUCGCGCAAUUCGCUUCCAUAACUAAGAUGGCAUGGGACGUUGUACAAAAACAAAAUGUUAAAAGCAACACUAUGUUUACGGUGUCUGACAGUUGAAGUAAAUAUAGAAUUUUUUAAUUAGUAAGCAAGUACGAUUUCUUCCAUGGCUCCUGAAUUUUUAUUAAAAAAAAAGUGCGUGUUGCACGAAAACAAAUAAGAUUAUACUAAAUUUGCACCAAUAGUUUUAUUUACAAAUAUAUUUAUUUUAUUAUAAUCUAUCCGUAUGAAGUAUGAAUGUAUAAUCAAACCCCGUGAAAUGUUUACCAAAUUGUCCAAAUUAUGUG